rnacentral:lncRNA from 1 species
CUUACUUGGACCUUCAGUGAUAUAUGCAGUUCCACUUGAGUGGACGAGAUGUCAGCCUGCAUCAGAGUAGAGGAAACAGCUAAUACAGAGUCAGGAAGAUGUAUUCAUAGGUCACACAGGCAAACCGAAGCAGACACAGUGGUCUCUCACCUGACCUUCUUGGCUCUUGUGGAAUAGUUUGGUGCGUAAAUAACUGUUCUGGUUGGCAUAUCUGUGACGAGACAUCUAUAGACAGUCUUAGCCUACAGACAAAAGGCCCGAUCUCCUGCACUGAGUUGAAAUGUUGUCUCCUGCUGAAGUGAACAUAGUAUCUUCA